AUCCGAAGUCGCUGCGCUAACCGUAAGGGGGGCAGUGGCCGAAGGUAUGGCUGGUGAUUGGGAUGAAGUCGUAACAAGGUAGUCGUAGGUGAACCUGCAGAAGGAUCA
rnacentral:rRNA from 1 species